CUGCCCUAUUUAAGCAGCCCCAGGACAGGCAGCAGCCCCAAGCUUGCCCAACUGGGCAGAGGAUCCUCCUCCUGUCACCACAGCAGCACCAGGACUGGAGCUGGCAGCAUUUGGAGCAGCACUGAGGGGACCUGGAGGCAAUGUCUGAGGAUCUCUGAACAGUGUCUUUCAGGUUGACAACCCCAAGUCUUCCUCCUCAAGGCUGCUCUCAAGCCACUCCUCAUCCAGGCUGUGUUUGUGCUGGAGUUUGCUCCAACCCAGCUGCAGGACUUUGCACUUGGAGGAAGACAACACAGCCUUUAGGAAGCUUUGUGAUCAAAGUGUUGGAUAGCUCCCCCCCACCCCAAUCAUUAAUCACCAAAUGAAUGCACUCUUGUUCAAGUGAAUUCCAGCAUGGACAUCAUAUGACAGCACCCAGGGGAAGCUUGUUGAUGUGAUAGACCAAAGUAGUGUUUGUCUUCAUCACAAGCUGGCAUUGUUCAUUGAUCUUUGGAGGGCUGAGCUGAUAGGUCUCUUGGUCAAGCUUCAGGGCUCA